rnacentral:rRNA from 1 species
AUUGAACGCUGGCGGCAUGCCUUACACAUGCAAGUCGAACGGCAGCACGGGUGCUUGCACCUGGUGGCGAGUGGCGAACGGGUGAGUAAUACAUCGGAACAUGUCCUGUAGUGGGGGAUAGCCCGGCGAAAGCCGGAUUAAUACCGCAUACGAUCUACGGAUGAAAGCGGGGGACCUUCGGGCCUCGCGCUAUAGGGUUGGCCGAUGGCUGAUUAGCUAGUUGGUGGGGUAAAGGCCUACCAAGGCGACGAUCAGUAGCUGGUCUGAGAGGACGACCAGCCACACUGGGACUGAGACACGGCCCAGACUCCUACGGGAGACAGCAGUGGGGAAUUUUGGACAAUGGGCGAAAGCCUGAUCCAGCAAUGCCGCGUGUGUGAAGAAGGCCUUCGGGUUGUAAAGCACUUUUGUCCGGAAAGAAAUCCUUGGCCCUAAUACGGUCGGGGGAUGACGGUACCGGAAUAAUAAGCACCGGCUAACUACGUG